rnacentral:lncRNA from 1 species
CCUACGGACACGCUACAGACAGUCCUACAGACACGCUACAGACAGUCCUACAGGCAUCCUACGGACAAGCUACAGACAGUCCUACGGACACGCUACAGACAUUCCGACAGACAGUCCGAAAGACACGCUACAGACAGUCCGAAAGACACGCUACAGACAGUCCUACGGACACGCUACGGACAGCCCGAAAGACAGUCCGAAAGACACGCUACAGACAGUCCUACAGACAGUCCUACGGACAAGCUACAGACAGUCCUACAGACACGCUACAGACAGUCCGACAGACAGUCCGAAAGACACGCUACAGACAGUCCGAAAGACACGCUACGGAC